rnacentral:tRNA from 1 species
GUGGGUAUAGCUCAGCAGUGGAGCCUGUGCUUAGCAUGCACGAGGUCAUGGGUUCAAUCUCCAGUACUUCCA